GAUGAAGAACGUAGCGAAAUGCGAUAAGUAACGUGAAUUGCAGAAUUCAGUGAAUCAUCGAAUCUUUGAACGCACAUUGCGCCCGUCAGUAUUCUGGCGGGCAUGCCUGUUCGAGCGUCAUUACGCCCCUCAAGUCCCCUGUGGACUUGGUGUUGGGGAUCGGCGAGGCUGGUUUUCCAGCACAGCCGUCCCUUAAAUUAAUUGGCGGUCUCGCCGUGGCCCUCCUCUGCGCAGUAGUAAAACACUCGCAACAGGAGCCCGGCGCGGUCCACUGCCGUAAAACCCCCCAACUUUUUAUAGUUGACCUCGAAUCAGGUAGGACUACCCGCUGAACUUAAGCAUAUCAAUAAGCGGAGGA
rnacentral:misc_RNA from 1 species